UACGGGGGGGGCAAGCGUUGUUCGGAAUUACUGGGCGUAAAGGGCUCGUAGGCGGCCAACUAAGUCAGACGUGAAAUCCCUCGGCUUAACCGGGGAACUGCGUCUGAUACUGGAUGGCUUGAGAUUGGGAGAGGGAUGCGGAAUUCCAGGUGUAGCGGUGAGAUGCGUAGAUAUCUGGAGGAACACCGGUGGCGAAGGCGGCAUCCUGGACCAACACUGACGCUGAGGAGCGAAAGCCAGAGGAGCAAACGGG
rnacentral:rRNA from 1 species